rnacentral:rRNA from 1 species
ACUGCAGGCUGCAACUCGCCUGCACGAAGCCGGAAUUGCUAGUAAUCGUAGGUCAGCAUACUACGGUGAAUACGUUCCCGGGCCUUGUACACACCGCCCGUCAAACCAUGAGAGUUGGCAACACCCGAAGUCGGUAGUCUAACCGCAAGGAGGACGCCGCCGAAGGUGGGGUUGAUGAUUAGGGUUAAGUCGUAACAAGGUAGC